AUAGAAUACCAAACAAAAGCCUACUUAUCCUUUUUUCUGAUUGUAUGGAAAUUCUCAGUUGGUCAAUUUGGACAUGAACUUAAAACAGUAUUAAAAGGCAGAUGCUAUCCUAAGAUAAGAUCCUAAGAUAAGAUCGGACACCUGGCUUCUUUAAGUUGUUCUUCUUUUCAUCCAUGAGCCCAGUUGUGAAUUUUCCACCCUUGCGUGUUACGUUAAACAGUGUUGCCAUUUGUAUGGAAGACGGUACACUAUUUCACAAAACAUAUUUCUUAAUUAUUAUUUAUUUUUUAAUUGUGGUGAUUAUGUGAAUUAUAGUGUAUCUCUUCUUCUUGGUAUUACGUCCUCACUGGGACAGAGCCUGCUUCUCUGCUUAGUGUUCAAUGAGCACUUCCACAGUUAUUAACUGAGAACUUUUAUUGCCAAAGUGGCCAUUUUCGGAUUUGGAUUGAGAUUCUCUUUAAGUCCUUUAAAAAACACUCAAGGCAAGUACAAAACGAACUAAUUGAAGCCCAAUACGACCAAUCUAACACUGCACAAUCUGCAUCCGGCUGUCAGCUUAAAAAACGGUUUACAUCGGUCGGCUACGAACUUUUAUGCACAACCGCAAA